rnacentral:rRNA from 1 species
UACGAAGGGGGCUAGCGUUACUCGGAUUGACUGGGCGUAAAGGGCGCGUAGGCGGUUUGUACAGUCAGACGUGAAAUUCCUGGGCUCAACCUGGGGGCUGCGUUUGAUACGUGCAGACUUGAGUUCGGAAGAGGGUCGUGGAAUUCCCAGUGUAGAGGUGAAAUUCGUAGAUAUUGGGAAGAACACCGGUGGCGAAGGCGGCGACCUGGUCCGAUACUGACGCUGAGGCACGAAAGCGUGGGGAGCAAACAGG